GCCCUCUCAGGGUUGCACCUGGAAAGCUUCCAGUACUCUUCCAGACUCGGAUAUGGGAGGGAGAGUCAAGCAGAGGCCUACCCAUUCCAUUCCUAGAUAGGGCAGUGGCUAGUGAAUGGAAGGCGAUCUGCUACUAGU